rnacentral:misc_RNA from 1 species
GAAAUGCGAUAAGUAGUGUGAAUUGCAGAAUUCAGUGAAUCAUCGAAUCUUUGAACGCACAUUGCGCCCCUUGGUAUCCCGAGGGGCAUGCCUGUUCGAGCGUCAUUUCACCACUCAAGCCUGGCUUGGUGUUGGGCGACGUCCCCUUUGGGGACGCGUCUCGAAACGCUCGGCGGCGUGGCACCGGCUUUAAGCGUAGCAGAAUCUUUCGCUUCAAAAGUCGGGGCCCCGUCUGCCGGAAGACCUACUCGCAAGGUUGACCUCGGAUCAGGCAGGGAUACCCGCUGAACUUAA